CACCACAGAGGUUAGGGCGACGGGUCUGUAGUCAUUAGGUCCUGUAGUUCUUUGUUUUUUGGGGAUGGGGAUGAUGACAUUUGAGCGCCUUGU